AUUGAACGCUGGCGGAACUGCUUUACACAUGCAAGUCGAACGGUAGACGGGGGCAACCCCUCGAGAGUGGCGAACGGGUAGAGUAAUAUAUCGGAACGUGCCCAGUCGUGGGGAUAACGUAGCGAAAGUUACGCUAAUACCGCAUACGAUCUACGGAUGAAAGCGGGGGAUCGCAAGACCUCGCGCGAUUGGAGCGGCCGAUAUCAGAUUAGGUAGUUGGUGGGGGUAAAGGCUCACCAAGCCAACGAUCUGUAGCUGGUCUGAGAGGACGACCAGCCACACUGGAACUGAGACACGGUCCAGACUCCUACGGGAGGCAGCAGUGGGGAAUUUUGGACAAUGGACGCAAGUCUGAUCCAGCCAUUCCGCGUGCAGGACGAAGGCCUUCGGGUUGUAAACUGCUUUUGUACAGAACGAAAAGGUCUCUAUUAAUACUAGGGGCUCAUGACGGUACUGUAAGAAUAAGCACCGGCUAACUACGUG
rnacentral:rRNA from 1 species